rnacentral:rRNA from 1 species
AUUGAACGCUGGCGGCAUGCCUUACACAUGCAAGUCGAACGGCAGCACGGGGCAACCUGGUGGCGAGUGGCGAACGGGUGAGUAAUGCAUCGGAACGUACCUUUCAGUGGGGGAUAACGUAGCGAAAGUUACGCUAAUACCGCAUAUUCUGUGAGCAGGAAAGCAGGGGAUCGCAAGACCUUGCGCUGAUUGAGCGGCCGAUGUCAGAUUAGCUAGUUGGUGAGGUAAAGGCUCACCAAGGCGACGAUCUGUAGCGGGUCUGAGAGGAUGAUCCGCCACACUGGAAAUGAGACACGGUCCAGACUCCUACGGGAGGCAGCAGUGGGGAAUUUUGGACAAUGGGGGCAACCCUGAUCCAGCCCUGCCGCGUGAGUGAAGAAGGCCUUCGGGUUGUAAAGCUCUUUCGGCCGGGAAGAAAUCGCACGGGCUAAUACCCUGUGUGGAUGACGGUACCGGAAUAAGAAGCACCGGCUAACUACGUGCCAGCAGCCGCCAUAAAAC